rnacentral:misc_RNA from 1 species
UACGGAGGGUGCGAGCGUUACUCGGAAUUACUGGGCGUAAAGCGCGCGCAGGCGGCGUGAUAAGCCGGUUGUGAAAUCCCCGGGCUCAACCUGGGAACGGCAUCCGGAACUGUCAGGCUAGAGUGCUGGAGAGGAAGGUAGAAUUCCCGGUGUAGCGGUGAAAUGCGUAGAGAUCUGGAGGAAUACCAGUGGCGAAGGCGGCCUUCUGGACUAACACUGACGCUGAGGUGCGAAAGCGUGGGUAGCAAACAGG